rnacentral:rRNA from 1 species
GAGUUUGAUCCUGGCUCAGGACGAACGCUGGCGGCGUGCCUAAUACAUGCAAGUCGAGCGAACCUUUAAAAGCUUGCUUUUGAAGGUUAGCGGCGGACGGGUGAGUAACACGUGGGCAACCUGCCUGUAAGACUGGGAUAACUUCGGGAAACCGGAGCUAAUACCGGAUAAUCCUUUUCCUCACAUGAGGAAAAGCUGAAAGACGGUUUCGGCUGUCACUUACAGAUGGGCCCGCGGCGCAUUAGCUAGUUGGUGAGGUAACGGCUCACCAAGGCAACGAUGCGUAGCCGACCUGAGAGGGUGAUCGGCCACACUGGGACUGAGACACGGCCCAGACUCCUACGGGAGGCAGCAGUAGGGAAUCUUCCGCAAUGGACGAAAGUCUGACGGAGCAACGCCGCGUGAGCGAAGAAGGCCUUCGGGUCGUAAAGCUCUGUUGUUAGGGAAGAACAAGUAUCGGAGUAACUGCCGGUACCUUGACGGUACCUAACCAGAAAGCCACGGCUAACUACGUGCCAGCAGCCGCGGUAAUACGUAGGUGGCAAGCGUUGUCCGGAAUUAUUGGGCGUAAAGCGCGCGCAGGUGGUUCCUUAAGUCUGAUGUGAAAGCCCACGGCUCAACCGUGGAGGGUCAUUGGAAACUGGGGAACUUGAGUGCAGAAGAGGAAAGUGGAAUUCCACGUGUAGCGGUGAAAUGCGUAGAGAUGUGGAGGAACACCAGUGGCGAAGGCGACUUUCUGGUCUGUAACUGACACUGAGGCGCGAAAGCGUGGGGAGCGAACAGGAUUAGAUACCCUGGUAGUCCACGCCGUAAACGAUGAGUGCUAAAGUGUUGGGGGGGUUUCCGCCCCUUAGUGCUGCAGCUAACGCAUUAAGCACUCCGC